CACGUCCUUUUGAAUUUAAUUUAAGGUCUAAUCUGCUCAAUGAUAUUUAAAUUGCCGCAGUAUUUUGACUGUGCAAAGGUAGCAUAAUAAUUAGUUUCUUAAUUAGAAACUGGAAUGAAUGAUUGGACAAGAAAAUUUCUGUCUCUUUUUUAAAUUUUUUGAAUUUUAUUUUUAAGUGAAAAAGCUUAAAUUUUUAUAAAAGACGAGAAGACCCUAUAGAGUUUAAUAUUCAUAAUUAAUUUGACUUUAGAAAUAUAUUUUGGUUUUGUUUAUUUAGUUGGGGUGAUUUAAAGAUUAAAUAAAUUCUUUAAUUAAAUAAUUAGUGAUUUCUAAAUUUUGAAUCUAUAUUUAAUAAAUAUAAAAUAAAUUACCUUAGGGAUAACAGCGUAAUUUUUCUUAAAAGUUCUUAUUGAAAGGAAAGUUUGCGACCUCGAUGUUGGAUUAAAAUUAAUUUUUGGUGCAAUAACUUAAAAAUUAGGUCUGUUCGACCUUUAAAAUUUUACAUGAUCUGAGUUUAAACCGGUGUAAACCAGGUUGGAUUCUAUCUUUAGAAAGAUAAUAUAUUUUAGUACGAAAGGACCAAGUAUAUAUUAAAUUAAUUG
rnacentral:rRNA from 1 species